rnacentral:rRNA from 1 species
GACGAACGCUGGCGGCGUGCUUAACACAUGCAAGUCGAACGGGCCUGUCUUCUUUUUUGGGGGUGGGUUGAGUGGCGAACGGGUGAGUAUCACGUGAGUAACCUGCCCUUCGGUCCUGGAUAACCGCUUGAAAGGGCGGCUAAUACGGGGUGGUCCGGUUGGUCCGCAUGGGCUGGUCGGGAUAGAUUCACUGUUUUUGGUGUUUCGGCGGGGGAUGGGCUCGCGGCCUAUCAGCUUGUUGGUGGGGUGAUGGCCUACCAAGGCGGUGACGGGUAGCCGGCCUGGGAGGGUGGGCGGCCACACUGGGACUGAGAUACGGCCCAGACUCCUGCGGGAGGCAGCAGUGGGGGGUAUUGCACAAUGGGCGGAAGCCUGAUGCAGCGACGUCGCGUGAAGGAUGGAGGCCUUCGGGUUGUGAACCUCUGUUUCCGGUGGUGAAGGCCCUGUCCGUGUGGUGGGGUUGACGGUAGCCGGGGAUGAAGCGCCGGCUAACUACGUG